UUACAUUUGGCAUUUCAUUUGAGGCGGGCUACGUAAAACAAAUGAACAACAAAAUUGUAUAAAAAUUUUCUAUAGUCUACUCGUUGCAUACUUAAAGGCACAUAAAAAGGCAAGGUAAAAGAAAAUCCUCAAGCACGGAAAAAGGCAAAGACAACGCGAUGCCAAGUGCAUGAAAAUAGAAUAAAACACAAAAUGCAUUUCCCCAAAACUGAAAGCUGAGUGCACGCCAGGAGCUGUGGGGAGUGGAGCAGUGGUAGAGAAGGAGUCUUUAGCUGGCACCUAGAAAAUCAAGAGCGUUAUUUAGGAUGGUGCAGUGAAAUUUAAAGCCUUCAAAUGAAUUUAAUGAGCAACUCAAAGGAGAAUAAUAAAAAAUUUAACAGUUGCUUAACAUAACAUCGGAGUGUUAGAAUUCAUAGAAAACUUAUGUUAUUCAAUUAAUAUGUUUACUUGAAUAUUCUUAUGUUCUAAUCAUCAUCAACUGGGGAACAGCAAGAGAAAACAUACAUAUUAGUAACAUCAAUCUUUAAAUAAAUGCUGUAAACAAAAUGCCUCACAGGAAAAUAAAUGUUAAUGUUGU